AACCUGGUUGAUCCUGCCAGUAGUCAUAUGCUUGUCUCAAAGACUAAGCCAUGCAUGUCUAAGUAUAAGUAUUAUACAGCGAAACUGCGAAUGGCUCAUUAAAACAGUUAUAGUUUAUUUGAUAAUCGAAUUUACAUGGAUAACCGUGGUAAUUCUAGAGCUAAUACAUGCUGGUGUGCCCGACUUUUUGGAAGGGCGGUAUUUAUUAGAUAACAAGCCAAUAUUCCUCUGGUCUAUUGUGGUGACUCAUAAUAACUGAUCGAAUCGCAAGGCCUAUGGCCGCGGUAAGUCAUUCAAGUUUCUGCCCCAUCAGCUUUCGAUGGUAGUGUAUUGGACUACCAUGGCGUUUACGGGUAACGGAGGAUUAGGGUUCGAUUCCGGAGAGGGAGCCUGAGAAACGGCUACCACAUCUAAGGAAGGCAGCAGGCGCGUAAAUUACCCAAUCCUGACUCAGGGAGGUAGUGACAAGAAAUAACGGACCGGAGCCUCAUGGCUUCCGGGAUUGCAAUGAGCCGAAUUUACACCCCUUAGCGAAGAUCGAUUGGAGGGCAAGUCUGGUGCCAGCAGCCGCGGUAAUUCCAGCUCCAAUAGC
rnacentral:rRNA from 1 species